UCCUUCCACUCUCCUCUGCAACUCCAAACUCUCUUCCAUUCCCUCUCUCUGUGCUGCCAUCUCACCAUUUCCUUUUUCCUACUCAGAUUCUGGAAGAACCAACCAGCAGGAACCUCCGCAGCUUCCUCCCUCAAACCUUCAUUCCCCAAGGUUAAGCUAAAACUCUGCUGUCUUGUAAAUCUGCUUGAGUCCACCAGUUAAAGUCUUGGCAAAAAGAUAAAAGUGCAGGUGAAGGUACACCUUUCCCGGACCGACGUCGAGUGAGUUCCUAGACGUUUCCCAGCUGUAGUAGCCUCUUGUUUCUCUAGUAAAUGUUUAGGAUGUUUUGUAAC